rnacentral:lncRNA from 1 species
GCCAGGUGCAAGAAUUUGUUAUACUAAAUAAAGUUAUCUUGUUACUCAUUAGGCAGUAUUUCGCAUGACAAAAAAAAACCCAAACAGUCGCAGACCAUGAAAAUGAUUUCAAGUACAACAUGUACAAUAAACAAACGUAAUCUGUAAUCUAGGUAUUAAAUAGUUUGUGCAGUUGCGGCAGCAAAAAAAUAAUCACUAUGUCUCUCAUUCCGUGACGUUCGGUGCAGGCGAGACAAACAUUGAUGGUUUAUUUUCAACAUCAUUAAUAUCAUUAAUGAAUUUUACAGUGUUUCGACUAGUUAUAGCGGGGUAAGUUCUGCAUUAACAGUUUAUAAAGAAGGUAUUGUCGAAUCAUGAUUUUUUUUGUAAUCAAAAUUGAUUACAGGUAAAAGGUUUACACUAAUUUUUACUGUUGUUUUUUUCUUAAUACUUGUUUUAAUUUUUAUUUUGAGGGACAGAAUAAUUUAUACUGUAAAACAAUUAUGUUCCUUAAAUUAAUUCUUGUUCUUAAACAAAACUGAUCAACA